GGGGCUGUGGCUCAGUGGCAGAGCACUUGCCUAGCAUGUGUGAGGCACUGGGUUCAAUUCUCAGCACCG
rnacentral:tRNA from 1 species